CCGUAUUUCCUCUUUAAUCUCGCUUGUUCACAGUCACAUGAUUAUCCCGCUUGUCAAUGCAAAUGGAGAUACACGGCUCUGCAAAAUCCGCUGUCAUCCUUUGAGUAAAGAUAUGAAUGUGGUCUUGUAAAAACUGUGGGAUGACUGCAUCGACAAGAAUCCAUCUACUAAACACUACAGAUAAGUGCUGAGUUCACUUGCAUUACCACCAUCCCACUUAUCAGUUUAUGGCGCAGCUGGGCCACUACUGACAGAUUCUCAGCAAGAAAGGAGGAGCAGUAGGACACAAAAUCAAAAACUUUAUGGCUGUUAUUUGACAAGAACGACUACAUUGCAACAAGAAGAUCUUGUAGCCUCCAAGCACUACCUUUGUAUCUCAACGAAGACCCUGAAAAGCUAGUGAAAGAGUACGGAAGUGAGAACCCUGAUGAAACCCAGGCAGAUUUGGAUCAGAUGGUCAUCGGCACCUAUGUGAUUAAACACCCAGGUGAAGAUGUUGAUCAGUCCCCAGAAGAUGUUGGCAUCAUAGUUGAAGGUGUGCAGGUGCUCAAUGAACUCAAAGAUGUCACCACUUCUUGUGCCUUACUGUUUGGGAUCAUCUACGACCUGAACCUGAGCAUUCUGACCUCAGGUACACUUUUAAAUUCAUCCAAAAGAUCCUGAUGGAACUUGAUACACACAGACUUUUAAACAAAAUCCAGGUACUCAAAAAUAAA